CUCUAGCCUCCUGCGCCCGCCAAGACUCCGCGGCCAGGCCCCGCCUCCCGCAGCCGCGGAGCCGCCGGAUGGGGACGGGACCACGGUCGGGGGCGGGGCUGUCGCCGGCGCGGGGCGGAGCUCCAGGGGACCCCCCACCCAGACCCCCGGCGCCACCUUCCCGCACCCGAGCUGGGAGUGGGUAGUGGUGGGGGCCAUCGAGCGGGUUAAAGGGCGCGUGCACAGUGCACCGCCAGGGGAGGCGGGGAGGCGACGGCGACGGCCACACUCAGAGCCACAGGGUCACCUGGACAGGGGUCAGCCAGGCCUUAAGGGUAAGGAUCGAGAAGGUGCCGCCUAAGCCGGGCGGGAUUCCUCGAGAAGGCCCGCCACGCCCCUGCCCUCCAUUCCCGGGAACCCCACAAAGUGCUGAGUAACGCAGACCAGGAAAUGUGUGUGGAUCCUCUGGGGGCGUCCGUUGGAAGAAAGCCGCUUGCGGGUACUAGGCUGCCCGUCGGGGUCGGAGAGUUUUCACCUAUUUCCACAUCCUCCCGGAGGAAAGUCCGUCCGCCUUCCGAUGUAUAGUCGCGUGGGUGUCUCAGACGUCCUGAGAUGCUGUAUGGAUAUCCUUUGUCAAGCGAUAAGUGUCCAAAUAAUUGUAGACUCGAAGGGCGAGAGACAAAGAGGACUACUCACGGCGCCAUCUUGGAAUUCCUCCCCACUGCAUUCUUAACCUCUUCUCAGAUGUUUCUUUUGCAUUCACUGAAACUUCUGCUCUUCUCAAGUGCAGGCUCCAUUAUAAGUCAGGGCCAGGAGGUCAGGUAAAUGCUUCUCAUUGCUGCUUCCAGGUUCUUUCUCCUUCUUCAAAAAUCUCAUGGCUAUCUCUGUAAAAAAAAAGAAAGAGACUUACCCUUACCUCACACCAUACAACAAAAUCACUCAAAAUUUACUAUGUGACUUCUAAAAGAAGAUGUUGGAGAUAAUCUUUGCAACCUUGCGGUAGGCAAAUAUUUCUUUGGCAGGACACAGAAAUCCCUGACUAUAAAAAAAGAGUUGGUAAGUUUGACCUCAUUAAAAUUAAAAACCUCUGCUCUUUGAAAAACAUUGUUUACAAGAAUGUGAAAAGGCAAGUCACAGACUGGAAGAAAAUACACAUAUGCAUAUACAGUACGUAUACCUAACAAAGGAUUUAUACCCAGAAUGUAUUGUGGGGGACUGGAGUUGGCCACCCCAAUAUAUGUCUCUUUGGCAUGAGGAUUAUUUUGGGCUGGUUAUUUUUAAAAACUGCAGACAGGAAAGAAACUCUGAAAAGUAGAAUUUACUUAGCCUUUGUUAAGAGACGUUUACACUUGUAAAGGAAAUCUCCAUCUGUAAAGGUGUCUCUCUCUCUGUACCAGGAAGAAGGAAGGAUGACCUUAUCUCUAGAAACUCUCAUCAAUGUGGAAGGCAAGGAGUCAAGCCUGCAUAAUAACCUGAUUCUUGUUUACUGUGCUUGUCUGGUAAUCUCCCAUAACUGACUCUCCCCACCCCCAACAUCCUCCUUUGUCUUUAGCUGUGGGUGGUAUUUAAGAUAAGAACUUCUGCCAUUUUGGGUAGUUGCUCAGUUUGCCUGAGCCUCUCCAAUGUAUACAUGAUAUAAAGCUUUGUUUAAUUCUCUCUGUUAUUCUGUCUCAUGUGAAUUUAAUUCGUUUUCUGGCCAGAAGGACCCAGAGCAGGUAGAGGAAAUGUCUUCCUCCCCUACAAUGUAAAAAACUCUUACUACUCAAUAAGACAAACAACUGGUAAAAACAUAGCAAUAGACUUGAAUACAUACUUCUCAAGAUAUAUGAGUCACCCAUAAGCACAUGAACAGAUGAUGCUAAACUUUAUUUGUCAUCAGGGAAAUUCCAGUUAAAACCACAAUGAGAUACCACUUUGCACCCACUAGACUGAUAAAAUUUAAAAGAACUGAUAAUACCAAAUGUUGGUGAGAUUGUGAAUUAACUGAAACUAACUUCCAUACACUGCUGGUAAGAGUGUAAAAUGGUACAACCACUUUGGAAAACAAUUUGGUAGGUUUUUUAAAAUUAUUUUUCAAUGAAGUUAUACAUUUACCAUAUGACCCAGUAAUUCCACUUCUAGGUAUUUACCCAAAAGAAAUUUAAAAACAUAUCCACACGAAGACUUGCAUAUGAAUGUUCAUAGCAGCUUUAUUUGUAAUAGCCCCAAACUAGACCCAAAUGUUCAUCAGCAGGUGAAAUACUACUCCAGUCAUGUCUUGCUUAACAAUGGGGUUAUGUUCUGAGAAAUGUGUUGUUAUGCAAACAUCACAGAGUGUACUUACACAAACCUAAAUGGUAUAGCCUACUACACACCUAGGCCAUUUGGUAUUAAUCUUUUUUUUUUCUUUUAAAGAUUUUAUUUUUCCUUUUUCUCCCCAAAUCCCCACAGUACAUAGUUGUGUAUUUUUAGUUGUGGGUCCUUCUAGUUGUGGCAUGUGGGAUGCCGCCUCAGCAUGGCUCGAUGAGCGGUGCCAUGUCCAUGUCCAGGAUUCGAACUGGUGAAACCCUGGGCUGCCAAAGCGGAGCGCGUGAACUCAACCACUUGGCCACAGAGCUGGCCCCUAUUUAGUAUUAAUCUUAUGGGACCACGCUCAUAUAUGCGGUCCGUUGACAGAAAUGUCGUUAUUUGGCACAUGGCCAUACUACUGCUAUUGCUAAUAAAAGUGAUAUAUCCAUACAAUAGAAUGCUUCUCAGCAACAAAAAAGAACGAACUCCUUCUGUACACGAUAACAUGGAUGAAGAUCAAAAAUACUAUGCUGAGUGGAAGAAGCCAGAACAAAAGACUACAUACUGUAUGAAUCCAUCAUAUGAAGUUCUAGACCAGAAUUUCUGGUAAUGACGCAGAACUCAUCUUGGAAACUGAGCAGGAGCAAGAGAAAGAGGUAGUAGGAUGGACCACAACCCAAACCAAGGCACAAACCCAGUCUGUCGUGAGACCUGAAAAUUCUGCAGCCAUCUUGCUUCCAGCCUGAGAUGAAGAACAUAGAAAACAAGGGCAGAAAUCACUAGAGUAAUUGCAGAGAAAUGGAGCUGGAACCGCCGGAUUAAGUCCGCUGACGCCUGUCCACAUCUUGACAUUCAGUUAUGCGCACCGAUACAUUUUUGUUUGGCUUAAGCAAUGUCGAGUUGGGUGUUCUGGUCCUUGUAGCCAAAAACAACCCAACUGGAAAAGGGACUCAUGAAUAUGUGAGUCACUUUUGUAAGCUUAUCAUUUGUUGAACUCUGAAAGUUUAGCAUAAUGUGUUUUGAUUGAACUAGAAAUUAUUGCCAUUAUGAAACCAUGAGGCAAAGAUUAGUAUUUAAAUGAAUGCAACCGAACAACUGGAGAUCUGCUUCAUUAGUCCAGGGAAAGAAGUUUAUGAUUAUUGCCAGAUUCCUGCUCUUUUUGCAUGAAUGCCCUGAGGAUGAGCCAGCCUCUUAGGGAGUUCCCUCUGAGGAGAGAAACAUUUAAAUUCGUGGAACGACCUAAAG
ensembl:lncRNA